rnacentral:rRNA from 1 species
UCGAUGAAGAACGCAGCGAAAUGCGAUAAGUAAUGUGAAUUGCAGAAUUCAGUGAAUCAUCGAAUCUUUGAACGCACAUUGCGCCCGCCAGUAUUCUGGCGGGCAUGCCUGUCCGAGCG